GAUGAAGAACGUAGCGAAAUGCGAUAAGUAAUGUGAAUUGCAGAAUUCAGUGAAUCAUCGAAUCUUUGAACGCACAUUGCGCCCCUUGGUAUUCCGGGGGGCAUGCCUGUUCGAGCGUCAUUAUCACCCCUCAAGCUCAGCUUGGUGUUGGGGCCUGCCGUCAAGGCAGCCCUUAAAAUCAGUGGCGGCGCCAUCUGGCUCUAAGCGUAGUAAAUCUAAUCGCUAUAGACACCUGGUGGACACUCGCCAGAACCCCCCCAUUUUUUAAUGAUUGACCUCGGAUUAGGUAGGGAUACCCGCUGAACUUAAGCAUAUCAAUAAGCGGAGGA
rnacentral:misc_RNA from 1 species